rnacentral:rRNA from 1 species
UAGCCGUAAACGAUACUCGCUAGGUGUCGGCCACGGUGCGACCGUUGUCGGUGCCGUAGGGAAGCCGUGAAGCGAGCCACCUGGGAAGUACGGCCGCAAGGCCGAAACUUAAAGGAAUUGGCGGGGGAGCACCACAACGGGUGGAGCUUGCGGUUUAAUUGGAUUCAACGCCGGGAAGCUCACCGGAUAAGACGGCGGAAUGAUUGCCGGGCUGAAGACCCUGCAUGACCAGCUGAGAGGAGGUGCAUGGCGUAGUCGUGU